UAUAAUAAUGCGGGAAAAACCCCGUUUUCCGGACCGUAACUAGUAGUGAUGUCAUUCAAAAUCAGCCCGACUUUGAAUGAACACAAUACAUUUCGGCCCUAUGCCAUGUCCUGAAUGCAUGGUACACAAACAUGGUGUUUUAAAAGAGAUGUCGGUUUACAGAUUGUGACAAAAACUUGGAUUGCGGUUGGAGUUCAACAAUGUACGUUUUUUGGUCAGCUUUACCUUGAUGCUGAUGCAAAUUAUCCGUUCUUGUAUCCUCCCAAGUUAAUUUGUCCGGUUCAGGAUUGUUAUGCGGAAGUCAUUCAAGACCAUUCAUUUUCUCUCAACAACACACCAAGCCAUCCAAAUAGCAAUUGCGUCCUCCAGAUGAUUCUUUGGACGUUUAAAUACAUAAUUAAGUUUGUGAAUGGAGUUGAUGGAUUUUCCCACUGCUUGGUGGAUCUGCGCCUUCUCCGGACCUUUGAAGCAUGUCUCGGUAAAGUUCGUCACGCACGAGACGAACUCUGACCACAUUUUUGGAAACGUCUCGCUGAAACGAGGAGAUCGGAAUGAUUUGAUACUCUUCACUUCCGUAUAUCCGGAUCCCCCAAUCGAGAUUUUAUGGACAGGGACGGAUCAAAUUGUGGAAUUUGCUUUCCAGCUUUGAAUGUUUAAACGUUUUCUGUGCUAUCUUUGCGCAUUUUGGUAGUAUGAACUUGGACUUAUUUUCGAAAUCUCGCCCUUUUUAGCUUAAAGUUUGAAGUAUUUCAUCUUAAUUUUCUCAUAAAAAAAGAUGAGCGGUGUUGCUCUUGGUUUCCUCAUACUCAACGUUCAUUUUGAUAGCAAUAACUACUCGCUUUUCUUGACAUUUUUCCUUUCUUGUUAAUCAUUUAAGUGGCACAUUGGUCUUUUUAAACGAAAUAUUUGAAUAUACAUUUUUACUGGGUUUAUUCAUAACAUUAUCAAAAUUUCAGCCCUUGCUUUCAAAUGAUUUUGUCCCUAAAAAUGACGACAGAUUAAUGUUUGUUGAUCUUCAGACGUUUAUACAAAAUUUUCUUUUUCCGAUUCUUUUCCCUUCUUGAGAGAUGCAUUUCAUUUAUGCUUUCGUAAAACCGUGUCAGUGCUUGUUUAAAAGAUAUGUUGUCAUUAUCAGUCUCAACGUAAAAUAUUUAAUAGAACCAAGUCAAAGCUGAAUUAAUUUGACAAAAAUAUUAAAACGCAAUAUGGUACUGUAAAAAAAAAAGAAACGA